UGCAUUCACUACUGUAAGUCGCUUUGGAUAAUAGCGUCUGCUAAAUGACUAAAA
rfam:Salmo salar isolate Sally breed double haploid chromosome ssa08, whole genome shotgun sequence.